GGAAAGAUGGCUGAGCUGGUCUAAGGCGCACGACUGGAAAUCGUGUGUACGUUAAUAGCGUACCGAGGGUUCGAAUCCCUCUCUUUCC
rnacentral:tRNA from 1 species